GAGGGAAUCGCUCAGUGGUAGAGCGCGUGCUUAGCAUGCACAAGGUCCCGGGUUCAAUCCCCAGUACCCCCG
rnacentral:tRNA from 1 species